rnacentral:rRNA from 1 species
AUUGAACGCUGGCGGCAGGCUUAACACAUGCAAGUCGAACGAGUGGCGGACGGGUGAGUAAUGCUUGGGAAUCUAGCUUAUGGAGGGGGAUAACUACUGGAAACUGUAGCUCAUACCGCGUACCAUCGGAUGAGCCCAUGUGGGAUUAGCUAGUUGGUGAGGUAACGGCGCACCAAGCCGACGAGCACUAGCUGGUCUGAGAGGAUGCACGGCCACACUGGGACUGAGACACGGCCCAGACUCCUACGGGAGGCAGCAGUGGGGAAUAUUGCGCAAUGGGGGCAACCUGACGCAGCCAUGCCGCGUGAAUGAAGAAGGCCGUCGGGUUGUAAAGUUCUUUCAGUAGGGAGGCGUUAACUGCAGAAGAAGCACCGGCUAACGCCGUGCCAGCAGCCGCGGUAAUAC